GAUGAACGCUAGCUACAGGCUUAACACAUGCAAGUCGAGGGGUAACGAGAGGAAAGCUUGCUUUCCUUGUCGACGACCGGCGCACGGGUGAGUAACGCGUAUCCAACCUGCCCCCAACUAGGGAAUAACCUUGCGAAAGUAAGACUAAUACCCUAUAAUUUCCUCAGAUGACAUCUGACGAGGAAUAAAGAUUUAUCGGUUGUGGAUGGGGAUGCGUCUGAUUAGCUUGUUGGCGGGGUAACGGCCCACCAAGGCAACGAUCAGUAGGGGUUCUGGGAGGAAGGUCCCCCACAUUGGAACUGAGACACGGGUCAAACUCCUACGGGAGGCAGCAGUGAGGAAUAUUGGUCAAUGGGCGGAAGCCUGAACCAGCCAAGUAGCGUGCAGGAUGACGGCCCUAUGGGUUGUAAACUGCUUUUAUACAGGAAUAAAGUUAGCCACGUGUGGUUAUUUGUAGGUACUGUAUGAAUAAGGACCGGCUAAUUCCGUGCCAGCAGCCGCGGUAA
rnacentral:rRNA from 1 species